rnacentral:rRNA from 1 species
GGGAUUGCCCUAGUAACGGCGAGUGAAGCGGCAACAGCUCAAAUUUGAAAUCUGGCCUCGGCCCGAGUUGUAAUUUGCAGAGGAUGCUUCUGGCGCGGUGCCUUCCGAGUUCCCUGGAACGGGACGCCACAGAGGGUGAGAGCCCCGUAUGGUCGGACACCAAGCCUGUGUGAAGCUCCUUCGACGAGUCGAGUAGUUUGGGAAUGCUGCUCUAAAUGGGAGGUAAAUCUCUUCUAAAGCUAAAUACCGGCCAGAGACCGAUAGCGCACAAGUAGAGUGAUCGAAAGAUGAAAAGCACCUUGAAAAGGGGGUUAAAUAGUACGUGAAAUUGUUGAAAGGGAAGCACUUAUGACCAGACUUGGGCCGGGCGGCUCAUCAGGGGUUCUCCCCUGUGCACUCCGCCCGGCACAGGCCAGCAUCGGUUCUCGUGGGGGGAUAAGACCGUCAGGAACGUAGCACCCUCCGGGGUGUGUUAUAGCCUGGCGGACGAUACCCCCGUGGGGACCGAGGUCCGCGCUCCGCAAGGAUGCUGGCGUAAUGGUCAUCAGUGACCCGUCUUGAAACACGGACCAAGGAGUCGUCCAUUAGAGCGAGCGUUUGGGUGUAAAACCCGCACGCGUAAUGAAAGUGAACGCAGGUGAGAGCUUCGGCGCAUCAUCGACCGAUCCUGAUGUUCUCGGAAGGAUUUGAGUAAGAGUUUUAACGGACGGACCCGAAAGACAGUGAACUAUGCUUGUAUAGGGUGAAGCCAGAGGAAACUCUGGUGGAGGCUCGCAGCGGUUCUGACGUGCAAAUCGAUCGUCAAAUAUGAGCAUGGGGGCGAAAGACUAAUCGAACUGUCUAGUAGCUGGUUACCGCCGAAGUUUCCCUCAGGAUAGCAGUGUUGAUCUUCAGUUUUAUGAGGUAAAGCGAAUGAUUAGGGACUCGGGGGCUAUAUAUUGCCUUCAUCCAUUCUCAAACUUUAAAUAUGUAAGAAGCCCUUGUUACUUAAUUGAACGUGGGCAUUCGAAUGUACCAACACUAGUGGGCCAUUUUUGGUAAGCAGAACUGGCGAUGCGGGAUGAACCGAACGCGGGGUUAAGGCGCCAGAGUGUACGCUCAUCAGACACCACAAAAGGCGUUAGUACAUCUUGACAGCAGGACGGUGGCCAUGGAAGUCGGAAUCCGCUAAGGACUGUGUAACAACUCACCUGCCGAAUGUACUAGCCCUGAAAAUGGAUGGCGCUCAAGCGUACCGCCCAUACCCCGCCCCCAGGGUAGAAACGAUGCCCUGGGGAGUAGGCGGCCGUGGGGG